rnacentral:lncRNA from 1 species
UAUAUUCUCAACAUGGCUAUGAUCUGGUCCUACCAAUGGGGACUAUUCGUUGGCCUGUUGACUUGUAAUAUAUAACAAACUGAUUUUGACACCACACCACCGGUGAUUAGAUAGUAGUUAAAUGGAUACUAUUACUAUCGAUGGUUAAUAAUAGUAGUUUUUGGCUCUUUGUGUGACUCGUGCCAUGGAGUUUCGUAGCCAUAGCCUAUUAAUGUUCAAAUUUUGGUAUAAAAGAUUUAUAAAAGUAAUAAUAAAUUUCAAAAAAAGUAUGUUUAUUGAUUAUUUUUUUGGUCAUUAUUUUAUGUUUUAUUUAAAUAUCUGCCAUGCUUUGACCCCACUCUGGGGUAUUCUGUUGCCUACUGGGCCAAUAUAGCUCAUUAUCAUAUUUUCUCUAUUUUCAGAUCCAGAU